AAGGUGCUUGAACCAACCUAUAUCGCUCUGAGGGACCAGAGGGACGAAGGCAGGGAUGAUUUGGAAGACACCUAUGGCUCGAGAAGAUGCCCAUCGAAAUAGGGCUCUCGGAGAGAAGGCAGACACUGAUAGAAACUCUGGAAUGAAAUAGGGCACCUAAAGGUGGGAGGACGGGUUUAAAUAGACCCUGGGAUCCAGUGCCAUAAUGAUCACGAAUCCCCCCAAGCCAGUCCGCACCCGGCACGUGUCCCACUCCCCCCGACGGGCGGCUAAAAGCGGCUGAUGGAUCAGCAGGGCCAUUAUGGUGCCGUACCUGGGCCAGCGUACUGGUGAGAAUUUCGAAGGGUCCCUUCGUAUC
rnacentral:lncRNA from 1 species